GACAGAGGUGCCGAGCGUUAGGCGGAAUCACUGGGCUUAAAGCGUGUGUAGGCGGAUCGUUAAGUGCCUUGUGAAAUCCCACGGCUCAACCGUGGAACGGCUGGGUAUACUGCCUGUCUUGAGCCAGCUAGGGGCGACCGGAACAGACGGUGGAGCGGUGAAAUGCGUAGAUAUCGUCUGGAACGCCAAAGGUGAAAACAGGUCGCUGGGGCUGAGCUGACGCUGAGACACGAAAGCCAGGGGAGCGAACGGG
rnacentral:rRNA from 1 species